rnacentral:rRNA from 1 species
UACAGAGGGGGCAAGCGUUGUUCGGAAUUACUGGGCGUAAAGGGCGCGUAGGCGGCCUGUUAAGUCGGACGUGAAAUCCCUCGGCUCAACCGGGGAACUGCGUCCGAUACUGGCGGGCUUGAAUUCGGGAGAGGGAUGUGGAAUUCCAGGUGUAGCGGUGAAAUGCGUAGAUAUCGGGAGGAACACCUGUGGCGAAAGCGGCGCACUGGACCAUAACUGACGCUGAGGCGCGAAAGCUAGGGGAGCAAACAGG